CCCUCUCCAGUGCUCAAAUUACACGUGUGGGCUGUGCCAGGGGGAGAUGUGGUAAGGUCACGGACUCUGAAAUCAGCAAGAACAUUUGGGCUUGGGAGCAGCCUCAUCACUUGUUGAUUAUGGGACCUUGAUCAUCUUUUUUGUCCGUGAAAGGGGCUAGAUUGGUAUGAGAAUUAAAGGGAAAUGAGGGAUAUGAAAGGUUAUUAUAAAAUCUAAAACUCUAAAAAUGUAAUAAGUUAUGUUGCUGACUCCUGCCUACAACCCAACUCUGGUGCUGUUCCUGACAAUGGGAAAUGUGGACAGGCUUUCUGUGAAUAUGGAUCCCCCUGCCAACAGCACCUAGGAAUUUAAACUCAGUGAACUGGGGAUGAGGGUAGGAGCAGGAAGAAAAAGAAAAGCUCAGAAAAGAAGUUUAAAAGUCCAUUCCACCCCAUGGUCUCUAGCUCCUCUAAGUCUAUUCUGCAGGUCAGUCUGUGCCUAUAGCAUGCAGCCUGGGUUUGGGGGCAGCCUUGUCAAUCUGGGGCAGAAGCAUGGUGGUUCAUUUAGUUAUUCGGUCCUGGAAACCAAAGAAUUCAGACAUAAAUAUGUUUUUUCCCCCUGGAGAGUGUGCUGAGGAAGACAGCUAAAAGAAGGCAUGGACUUGGCACCCUACCUGAGCAUCUGUCUUCAGCAGGACCUCUUCUAAAGCCAGCCUCGCUUAACACUGUUCUGAAGGUUCUGAGAUGUUCUCAGAGAGUCUGGGUUUCUACUUCCUGGCCAAGUUGGGCAUCUGAUGAGCGACUGCAGAUGCAAAGGUCCAGAGUGGGAAUUCUUUCUGAAGUGGAUUCCGCAGAAUGAGGAUUCGCCAUCCCAGGGGCCUCACACUCCCUCUGGAUGGGCAGGAUGCCUGCAGAAGCUGAGGUCACCCGGGGAGCAAAGACCAGAGGCCCACAUCCCUGUCUGCUGGGAGCAGACAUCCCUUCAUGAAGAAGAACCUUGGAAUGAGCCAGCUCCCCAUCAACAGGGAACUUCUCCAGGAACUACUAACAACCACAUGAACUUGGGAGUAAUUCUUUCCCUAGUUGAGCUUUCAGAUGAGACCCAGCCCUGGUGAACACCUUACGGAACUUUAUGAGAAACUAUGAAGCAGACGACCCAGCUAAGCUGUACCUGGUUUCUUGACCCACAGAAACUGAUAUAAUAAAUACGUGUUGUUUUAAGCCACUGUGUCUAUGGUAAUUUGAUACAGAGCAAUAGAUAACUGUCUGCAUAACCCAAAUUCCUCCCCAGAAGCCAGUGCUUUCUCUGGCCUCCUCUUUUCUGUGAGCACCCAGCUUGGAGGACCCUGGCUGGUCUGAGUUCUUCUCUGUGCUCUCUCUCUCUUCCCUGAAUCAGUGAAGCUUAAGCUGAUCCCACUUCUUGGCAAUGGAGGGGCAGGCAAAGAGGAGCUGACUUUUGGGACCUAGCAUUAGCAUUUCAGGCAUUCCUGUCAUAGUUUCUCUGUUCAGUUCUGUGCCCAAACAAAUUAAAAAAAAAGUCUUUCUGUCCAGGAUCACUGAAGCUUUGCUGCAAAAAGCAAAGAGCUGAAUAGGCUCUGAGGGGACGUGCGGUUGUUUUGCAGGCAGAACCAGCAAGUCUGAAGGAAGGAUGGUAAUUAAAAGUGGACUUCCAAGUAACAAGUGCUUAAUGCACCUGCACUGAUGGAGGGGCCUUUGCGUCCUGCUGGCCUUGGAGCUAAACGGUACUAAGGCGUGCUGAGAUUGGAGUUCCCGGAUCAUUUAUUGUCUCCCAUUUAUGUAACCUUUCACUGAAACAAAUGGGAAAAAACAACAUGUUUUCUCAAGCCAGCCAAGAAGAGACAGAAAGGCAAUGGGUCCUCUCUGUUGCUGACAGGGCCGUGGCAUGGCGUGAAGGCAUUUUGUCUGCAGCUUCGCUAUAAUGCCAACCAGCACAUCACGUCAGACUGGAGGUUCCUGAGGCCUUGUUGAGUCUGUCAGAGCUGGAUGCUGCUGCACUAUUUUUCCAGUGGGGCCCGGGGUCGGAAGGUUAUUGGGAAGUUAUGAAUCCACUACUGAUUCGUUGCUUUCUCAGCAUACACUGGAUUUCUCUUCAAAAAUGAUGCUCAGUUCAGCAAAAUUGGCAAUGCUCCAAUCUUGGAUAGAGACCUUUGCACCACAGGGCAGGAUAAAGUCAGAGCUGGGGCUUGGGGGACCAGUCUGAUUACUAGCUGUGCUCAGGAAGGGAUGCUGGAAAGGGACCUGGAGACUCCCUGUGUUGGGGUAACAGUGGCUUCCUGUCAGGCUUAUGUGGGCCCAGCUCUGGGUGGUGUAUUUUCCAUGAGGGGCACUUUGGAUUGUCCCCAGCUGCAGGCCCCGAGGCACCCAGCACAGGGCUUGAUACAGAGCAGGCACCAGUACAGACUUGUUAAAUGAAACUCAGCUUCGUGUGACUUUUAUUCCCCCCUGGGACUGAGAUUCAGGGCUCUGUGAACACAUUAACUAGAAAGCAAUGAUGUCUUCUGUGUUGAACACUCAGUUGCAUCUCCGAGUGGAAAUGCAAGAGAAGUGGAAAGAGAAGAUGGAUGUAGCCAAUCUGGAUGCAGCAGGAGCAUCUCCCUAACCGUGGUCAGCAGCUGUGUGGUAUUUGGGAUUGUUCCUAAUGGGCAUGGAAACUGACAACUUUGGGGUGAGCUGACUUAGUGGGAACCCUGGCUCUGCAGUUGACUGGUAGGGCAGGCAGCAUAACCCUUCUGAUUAUGUCUCCUGAGUUUUAGAAUGGGAAAAUCAUGAUGGUUCAUGCAGUACAUUUUGGGUCAAGCGCCUCUCUAAGCCCUUGACACCGAUUCACUCAUGUAAACCUUUCAUCAGACCUGUGUGAUGGAAACCCGAAGAACAUAAGCUCCAUUUUUUAAUGUGAGGAAACAAAGGCACAGGAAGGAGAAGUGAAUGGCUUUAAGUAAGUGGCAGAGUUGGGACCCGAAUAGUGAAAUCUAUCCUGGGGGACUGGGUGAGGGGAGAGGCCGUAAGGAUCAUAUAAGUGACCCCAAGCGUACUUAGUAGCUGGAGACACAGGUAAGCAGAGGAAAGGGGGCGUCUGCAAACCCAUGAGACUCCGCUGCCCAGGGAGGGAGGUCAGCCUCUCUUCCAGGCUUUGGUGCCUCCCUCUACCUUCACCAGGUCCCUGCGGAAGUGCUGCCUCUCCUUCGGCCACCAAGCAGCCCCUGGGCCUUGGUGUUGGCCACCGCCUGGGGAUGCUGACUACUCUGGGAGGGACUUGAGUAGCAGGGAUCAUGAGUUCCGAGUCACGAGUCAGUUCUACGCCA
rnacentral:lncRNA from 1 species